AUUGAACGCUGGCGGCAUGCCUUACACAUGCAAGUCGAACGGUAACGGGUCUUCGGAUGCUGACGAGUGGCGAACGGGUGAGUAAUACAUCGGAACGUGCCUAGUAGUGGGGGAUAACUACUCGAAAGAGUGGCUAAUACCGCAUGAGAUCUACGGAUGAAAGCAGGGGAUCGCAAGACCUUGAGCUACUAGAGCGGCCGAUGGCAGAUUAGGUAGUUGGUGGGAUAAAAGCUUACCAAGCCGACGAUCUGUAGCUGGUCUGAGAGGACGAUCAGCCAGACUGGGACUGAGACACGGCCCAGACUCCUACGGGAGGAAGCAGUGGGGAAUUUUGGACAAUGGGCGCAAGCCUGAUCCAGCAAUGCCGCGUGCAGGAUGAAGGCCUUCGGGUUGUAAACUGCUUUUGUACGGAGCGAAACGGCUUCCACUAAUACUGGGGGCUAAUGACGGUACCGUAAGAAUAAGCACCGGCUAACUACGUGCCAGCCGCCGCGGUAA
rnacentral:rRNA from 1 species